rnacentral:hammerhead_ribozyme from 1 species
AUCCAGCUGACGAGUCCCAAAUAGAACGAAACGUACGUCUUAGAU